rnacentral:rRNA from 1 species
GUCGAAAGGGAAGCGCUUGAAGUCAGCCAUGCUGCUUGAGACUCAGCCUUGCUUUUGCUUGGUGUAUUUCUCGGUAGCAAGCCAGCAUUGGUUCGAGUCGUCGGAGAAGGGUAUGAGAAAUGUGGCAUCCUCGGAUGUGUUAUAGACUUGUACUGGAUACGACGAUUUGGAUCAAGGAACGCAGUGUGCCUCUGGCGGG